CUGUCACGGAAGGGAAAUUUCCGAAUUCAGAGAGGCCAGACACCUGCUGAAUCUGACUUCCAAAUCUUGGAAAUCGCCCGUAAACUGGAAAUGUACGGUGUCCGCUUCCACCCAGCAGCCGAUCGCGAGGGCACCAAAAUCAACCUGGCUGUGGCUCACAUGGGGCUUCAGGUUUUUCAGGGAAUCACAAAAAUAAACACCUUUAACUGGUCCAAGAUUUGCAAACUGAGCUUCAAGAGGAAACGAUUCCUGAUCAAACUCCAC